UAGCGCGAGUGUACAAGUACGAGUAUAAAUACUUUGGCUGUCAGUCAGUUCCGACUUCCGAUAUCUUCAAUCUGUUGCUCAUCCAGCAUCUCCUCCCUUUCUUCGCAUCCGUUUCUUGUCAACUUUCCUGUCAAAGACGACGUUGAUGAAUUUCACCGUUUGCUUCUUGGCUGCCGUUGCAGUGGUGGCUGGUAAUCCAGGAUACGGAUACAAACCAAUGGCUCCUGCAUACACACCACCGGCAUACACUCCUCCUGUUUAUACUCCACCUGCAUAUUCUCCACCAGCAUACAAAGCUCCUUCGUACAUGGCUCCAGCUUAUUAAGUUCCUGUUAAAAAUUGAAGUUUCCUAAAAUGCGUCACCGUCUUAAAUUAUGCUUCCUUUUCGCCGCUCCUUAAGAACAAAAUUUUAACUUAAAUUAAAUUCGAUUCAAAAUAAAUGAAUGAAUGAUUAAAAAAUGUG